rnacentral:misc_RNA from 1 species
GAUGAAGAACGUAGCGAAAUGCGAUAAGUAAUGUGAAUUGCAGAAUUCAGUGAAUCAUCGAAUCUUUGAACGCAAGUUGCGCCCGAAGCCAUUAGGCCGAGGGCACGCCUGCCUGGGUGUCACACACCGUUACCCUCGCGCCAACGUCCAUCGUUGGCCGCGGCGCGGGGCGUGCGCUGACCUCCCGCGAGCGGGGUCUCGUGGUUGGUUGAAAAUCGAGUUCGCGGUCGAGGGUGCCGUGAUGAAAUGGUGGAUGGGCGACGCCCGAGGCCAAUCACGCGCGACUCUGUCCGGCUCGGACUCCUGGACCCCUUCGGCGUCUCCGGACGCUCUUUGGCGAGACCUCAGGUCAGGCGGGGCUACCCGCUGAGUUUAAGCAUAUCAAUAAGCGGAGGA